GGAGGCUGGAGGGGGGCUGACGCUGCCAGGGAGGCGAUGGGGGAAGCCCCCAGGAGCCCCGGUGGGCAAUGAGGCCGCGCUGCCGGCUCGGUGUCACCCCCGCACGUUCCCGCCAUCCCUCCCUCCCGCCCCGCGCCUGUCGCCUCCCGCUGUCGCCCGGCCCUCCCGGAGCGGGGUCCCUUCUCCCCGGCACUGCCUGCCUGGGAAGGGGAGCCUGACUCAUCCCGGCCGCGCUCCGGCAGAUGCCCGAAGGAGCAGCCUCAUCCCGUCGCCCUGCGCCCUUGGAAAGAGGGCGCUGCUGCAGACUCGGCACCUCACGCCUGGGUGGCAAGGGGCUCCUGGCAAGGAAAAGCGGCCACCCCCGCCAUGCCCCACUUCUUGGAUUGGUUUGUGCCAGUGUAUCUGAUGAUCUCCAUUCUCAUUCUGGUGGGCUUUGGAGCUUGCAUUUACUACUUUGAGCCAGGACUCCAGGAAGCCCAUAAGUGGCGAACGCAGAGGCCAAUCAUGGAACGAGACCUUCGGAAGACACUGAUGAUUCGGGACAACCUGGCCUUCGGGGUGCCCGAAGUCUGAUACACUGACUGUUGGGUCCACAAGAGCCUCUCCUGGGUGGGCAGCAGUCCACAAGCGUUGGUAGGGAUGACAGUCCUGCUUUGUGCAAGCGGGACUGAUUGUCACUUUGCUCUUUGCAGAUCUGGGUCUCAUACUCACCACUCACCUUUCUGACCCUUUGCUUCUUAGGCAAGGUUUGUGUGGCACUGUAGACCUGGGGCUUCCCACACACUCACAGCCCUUCACCCAGCCAAGGACUUCCACUCCUCUCUAUGGACGAGACUGAUGAAAGAUCUCUUGUUAAUCACUUGAGUUUGAGCUGACUGGUAUCUUGACAUGACCCUCAGUAAGAAAGGUCUCUGCAGGGGUACCAGGCUUUUUACUAGUAGUCCCUGAGUUAAAUCUAACCCAGUCUGUUUAAGUCCGGGGGCUAUUUGGGGAGAAAUAAAUGGGAUUUCAACCCAGAUCGUUGCUUCAACUGAGCUCUUCACAGCUUGCUGAAGCUCUGUGCAGAGGGGCCAAGGGCUCAGCGAGCCCCAGGACUGAAUUCCUUUACCCCUGCUAAAGGCACAUUGCUACUCUGUGUCUAUUUGGGAGAUGGAGAACAUCCAUCCACCCACCCAUCCAUCCAUUUCAGAUGCACUACAUUCAAAUUAAAGAUCUUUACUAAAGAGGUUUGUCCAAGUCCUGUGUCAAGCUGAGAAUAUAUUGCAGCUCUCAAUGACGGGGUGCUGCCCGACUUAUCACAUAAGCCUCUCCUGAUCUGCCUGACCUUCUGCUUCUCUGCCAUGGAGUGAAAUGGGAUAGACUGGGAGGCAGCUUGCACUUGUUCAGUCCCCUGCACUCCAAAGUCCCACGGCAUGGACAGGGGUCUACCUUAACUGUCAUCUCAAUGAAAGCUGUGAAGCAUCCCUCGACCCCCUUUCCCUGCAUGUCUCUGAGAAGGGACACUGAGCCUGUCGGUGAAAUGGGCCUGUUGCACCACCUCUGCUUUCUGGACCCAAGCCAUAUAAUGUGGGUCUGGCACAAAAUCCCAUGUUCAUAGACUAACCAUCUGCACUUUCUGCACUGCUCCGGGGUUGAUUGGCUACUGAAGCGCUGUGCAAAGGCAUGAUGCUGGGGCUAAGAGUGACAUUCACAUUUUCUCCCUCCUUGCCAGCCCAGUGUAAUGCCCAGUGUGCACAGGGUAGUUUUGGGGGAGCUCUGAACCCAUGGCAGGAGGCUGUGUCAAGAACCUCUCCUCACCUCUCUUCCCACAUCAACACCCACCCUUUGGAUGCAGCAGGUGCAGAGGUGAUAACUGUGAGCACUCUGGGCACACUGGGAUCCUGUGUGCCCCACUUCUGCAUGUCCCAGGGGAUGUCAGCCAGUGCCACCAUGCCAUGUCCACGUGUCUGCACAUCCCAUGCCAUCACCUGUGCCUGCCAGUAUCGGGGCAAUCCACAUCCCCAGCAUGCUCCUGGUGUUCCAGCUCUGUGCCAUAGACCCUGAUGGUUGUUUUGGGCAGCAGGCAUCCCCUAGGCCUGCUGCUGAAAUCUGCCACAGACCCUGGUUGGUCUUGCGUCCCUCAGCCUCUCCUGUGAAACUCUCAGGGGAGGUUUUUUCCCCCAUUCCCAAAGAGAGGAGGAGAGCAAACAGGGCCGGUUUAAGUGAGCGAUGCUACAUUGGUAAUUCUCAAGGGAUGGAUGUUAAUUUUUAGCUCUAAGGGUUUUGGCUGAGGAAGGAAUGGGUCAGGACAUCCUGUAAAUAUCCUGGGUCUUUCUGAGACAUUUCGUCCAAAACCAGGCACACUGGCAGGAGUUUUCUGGCUCUGUUUCAGCCAGAGGACAAGUUGUGAGUCCUUCCUUCCAGUCAGCCGAAAAACAGAGAUCAUGAUGCAAGUACCCCAACUGGAGAGUCUCACUCGGCAGGGAAAUGCAAUGAGUGGGAUUACUGCUGUGCCCAAAGAUACACUCACCAAGCAAAAGCUCAAAGAGCAGCUGUAGCAUGAAACAGGUAAAUCCCAUGUAUUUUUGUGCCUUGAUGACUUGAGGCUGAGAAAAGGAAAUGCUGUGGGGCUGGGCUGCACAGUCUUACGUGCCACCCUCAGCUGCAUGGUUCACGUCCCCUGCUUUUCAGCACAACACAGCCAUAUCUCCAAGCACCAGCUUGGAAACCCACUUCCUUACCUCAACACUAUCAUAGCUGGGACUGCACAGCGAGCGGACCCUAGCUGAGCCAUGGGAUAGCAAUAAAAACCUCUGUACUGGAGCUGAGGGGCUUGGAGCAGUCAGGGACAGGGUGGCCUGGUGGCCUGGUGGCCUGCCUCAGCGCAGGCUGCUCUGCCAUUGCACCUCCUCCAAACCCACUUCCACUUGCUGAGUCAAAAAAGAAGAGAGAAAACCACCAGCCUGGUAAAAAUGAAAGGUUGGGUCUGCCACUGCUGCUCUCGGCCAGCUGGCAUCCAUGGUGUGAUGGGGCUCCCCGUGGGCGUCCUCUCUCCCCUCCUCUGUGUCCUCCUCUGCGUGCUGUCCUGGCCUCCGGCGCCUCCACUCUGCCCAUGACUCGCCACAGAAACCAAGUGAAAAGAAGAUUACAAAGACAUCCGGGCUGGACUAGAGAGAAAUUAGUUAUUCAUCUCCUCUGGCUUAUGUUUCGCACUGUUUAGUCCUGACACAAUAAGUAUUAAGCCAGGCAUUUUCCAUGGGUAUGAAGGACUUUAUUGCCAAUGGUGUCAAAGCCCUCCCCAGUGGAAUAAAAGUGUGUGACAAACCA